rnacentral:rRNA from 1 species
GACGAACGCUGGCGGCGUGCUUAACACAUGCAAGUCGAACGGUAAGGCCCUUCGGGGUACACGAGUGGCGAACGGGUGAGUAACACGUGGGUGAUCUGCCCUGCACUUCGGGAUAAGCCUGGGAAACUGGGUCUAAUACCGGAUAGGACCCUGGGAUGCAUGUCCAGGGGUGGAAAGCUUUUGCGGUGUGGGAUGGGCCCGCGGCCUAUCAGCUUGUUGGUGGGGUGAUGGCCUACCAAGGCGACGACGGGUAGCCGGCCUGAGAGGGUGACCGGCCACAAUGGGACUGAGAUACGGCCCAGACUCCUACGGGAGGCAGCAGUGGGGAAUAUUGCACGAUGGGCGCAAGCCUGAUGCAGCGACGCCGCGUGAGGGAUGACGGCCUUCGGGUUGUAAACCUCUUUCAGCACCGACGAAGCGCAAGUGACGGUAGGUGCAGAAGAAGGACCGGCCAACUACGUGCCAGCAGCCGCGGUAA